rnacentral:rRNA from 1 species
GAUGAACGCUAGCGGCAGGCUUAACACAUGCAAGUCGUGGGGCAGCGCGAGGUAGCAAUACUUUGGCGGCGACCGGCAAAACGGGUGCGGAACACGUACGCAACCUUCCUCAGAGCGGGGAAUAGCCUCUCGAAAGAGAGAUUAAUACCCCAUAGUAUCUCGAAACUGCAUGGUUUGAGAUUAAAGCUUCGGCACUUUGAGAUGGGCGUGCGGCUGAUUAGGUAGUUGGUAGGUAACGGCCUACCAAGCCAACGAUCAGUAGCUGAUGUGAGAGCAUGAUCAGCCACACGGGCACUGAGACACGGGCCCGAUCCUACGGGAGGCAGCAGUGAGGAAUAUUGGUCAAAUGGAGGAAACUCUGAACCAGCCAAUGCCGCGUGAAGGAUGAAGGUCCUCUGGAAUUGUAAACUUCUUUUAUAGAAGAAGAAACCCCAUUAUCUUUAAAUGGGUUGACGGUACUCUAUGAAUAAGCACCGGCUAAACUCCGUGCCAGCAGCCG